UACGUAGGGGGCAAGCGUUGUCCGGAUUUAUUGGGCGUAAAGCGCGUGUAGGCGGCCAGGUAGGUCCGUUGUGAAAACUCGAGGCUCAACCUCGAGACGUCGGCGGAAACCAUCUGGCUAGAGUCCGGAAGAGGAGAGUGGAAUUCCUGGUGUAGCGGUGAAAUGCGCAGAUAUCAGGAAGAACACCCGGGGCGAAGGCGGCGCUCUGGGACGGUACUGACGCUGAGGAGCGAAAGCGUGGGGAGCGAACAGG
rnacentral:rRNA from 1 species